rnacentral:lncRNA from 1 species
UUAUUUCCUAUUAUGAUAAAUUGUUUCCAUCAACUUAUAUAGCAAUAUGCUUUAAUAUAUUUAACAUAUUACUUACUCACACACAUUUCCUCGUACAAAGCUUCCAAAUAAUGAAAAGGGGAGUGGGCAUAAUGAUGUGAAUCAACUACCAUCCAACAACUCCUUGUCAAAUGAAUUCUUCUUCCUUCCACUAGUUUAACCUCGGAUUAGGUCUGCCACGAUACUUCUAUCGUCAAACUAUUUAUAUUUUUCAUUCAUAACUUAAUGAAUAAAAGUUUACUUAUUACAAUUUAGAAUAUAAAUUCUCUCCAUUUCCAAGAUCUGUAUAAUGACCCCAAACUUUUAUAAGUUUCACACCUUGGUCAUUUACUAUUCCUGUGUUACAUUACAUUUGAUAUUAUAAAAACGCGGAAUAAUUUAAACUUUUUCAAUCUCCUUUGAAAAUAAAUCUUCUAUUAAUUUCUUAACUUAAAUCGAUUACAUAUCCUUGAAUCAAAUUAUGUUAUGAUUCAUUCUAUUCGAAUUACUGUAUAAGAUUUUACAUCUUGAUUCGAUAUCCUCUAUGUAUUAACUAAUACAUCCUUACAAUACAACAAGUAUUAAACAUCGUAAGUAUAUAUCAAGUACACUCCUAGAACCUAAACAUGGUUCAAGAAAUAAUCUAAAUAGUAUCCUUCAUUGCGAAACUAUCUACUUUGUCAACCAAGAAACACGAAAUCUUUACCGUGAGUCCUUAACCUGCAAAAGUGGUUAUUUGCAAGGGUGAGCUCGACAGCCCAGCAAUUCUAACAGUUUUCAUGCAGC